UAAAGGAGAACGUGGUGGUGACUGGUAAUCGAAGAUAUAAAAUGGUUUUGUGCUGCUCUGUUUUCGGUUUAGAUUUGUUCUGUAUCACUUUGUCCCUGGUUUGAUUCUUGUUUUUUUUUCGUAUGAUUUAACUUUUUUGAUGUUACAGAUCUUUUCUGGUCUUUCUUGCUUGAAGAAAAGAGACUUACAUACAUACAUUCAUAUAGUCAUGCAUUCAUACAUACAUGCAUUCAUACAUACAUACAUACAUACAUACAUACAUGCAUAAAUUCAUACAU
rnacentral:misc_RNA from 1 species